AAACACAGAAAACAACUACCCACCACCCAUAGUGGGAAAAUAGGCUGCCUAAGUAUGGUUCUCAAUCAGAGACAACGAUCGAAAGCUGCCUCUGAUUGGGAACCAUACCAGGCCAAACACAGAAAUAUAAAACCUAGAAUACACAACAUAGAAUGCCCACCCCAACUCACGCCCUGACCAAACUAAAACAGAGACAUAAAAAAGGAACUCCGGUCAGGACGUGACAGCUGGGUAUGUACAUACCGUAAUUUCCGGACUAUAAGCCGCUACUUUUUCCCCACGCUUUGAACCUCAUGGUUUAUACAAUGACGCGGCUAAUUUAUGGAUUUUUCCCGCUUUCACAAGAUUCAUGCCGCCAAAAAACUGAAUCGAGCGCACUCAAACUUCCCAUCAUUCUGAUUAGUAAUUUUGUCACCCUCAUCAUGGCAAAGACACGAAGAAAUGCAUAUGAUGCAGCUUUCAAGUUUAAGGCGAUCAAUCUGGCUGUUGGAAAAGGAAAUAGAGCUGCUGACAGCGUGGAGCAUUGUCAAAAAAUCCACUAUCAUCAAUGGGUUUCGAAAGGCUGGACUGCUGCGUGUUGAAGAGGGCAGCGAUCCAACAUCGGAUGAAGCAAUUCUGAGGCUAUUCAACUCCGACACCGAAGGAGAUGACUUCAGUGGUUUCAGUGCACAGGAGGAGGAAGAUAGUGACCAAUGACUUUCUUGGACCUGAGCCCUAGAAGCAUGCCCCAGGACUACCUGACAUGAUGACUCCUUGCUGUCCUCAGUCCACCUGGCCAUGCUGCUGCUCCAGUUUCAACUGACCUGAGCCCUAGGACCAUGCCCCAGGACUACCUGACAUGAUGACUCCUUGCUGUCCCCAGUCCACCUGGCCAUGCUGCUGCUCCAGUUUCAACUGUUCUGCCUUACUAUUAUUCGACCAUGCUGGUCAUUUAUGAACAUUUGAACAUCUUGGCCAUGUUCUGUUAUAAUCUCCACCCGGCACAGCCAGAAGAGGACGGGCCACCCCACAUAGCCUGGUUCCUCUCUAGGUUUCUUCCUAGGUUUUGGCCUUUCUAGGGAGUUUUUCCUAGCCACCGUGCUUCUACACCUGCAUUGCUUGCUGUUUGGGGUUUUAGGCUGGGUUUCUGUACAGCACUUUGAGAUAUCAGCUGAUGUACGAAGGGCUAUAUAAAUAAAUUUGAUUUGAUUUGAAAACGCGACAUGAUAUUUUUCAAGGUCAAUCUCACAAAAAAAUAAGCAUUUUUUGCCUUCUAACUACCCGCUAUUCAAAGUGCUCUAAACAAAUUAAGGGAAUCUUCCACAAACAUUGGCACAUUCUAAGAUUCGAUGACAGUAUCGGUAACGUUAUUGUGUUUUCGGACCAUUUGGUCGUGUUCUCUCGAGGCAGAAAUCUCAGCGAUCAAUUGGUAAACUCUGAUUUACCACCCCAAGAUAUUUCUGAACAACCUCUAUUUGCGCCCCUACUGGAUGGAAAUUACAAGUGUAAUGACUGGGAAAACAGGGAAACAGAUCCCAUUCAAAGGUGUUAUUACGUGCUCCGCUAAGGCAGUUAUUUAUCCUAUAACUUGUCCUUGUGGUAAAAAAAAAUGUGGGUUAACAAAGCGCGAAUUAAAAGUACGUACCUCAGAGCAUCGUAGCACCAUUAGGUGCAAAAACUUGACUUACCCAGUUCCGGUCUACUUUUUGGAAGCAAACCACUCGAAUUUCAUCCCUACGUUAUAUUGGCAUCGAACAUGUCACCCUCCCUCGGAGAGGGGGUGACAUCGACAAUUUAUUGUUAAAACGAGAGGCUGCCUGGAUCUUUAAUUUAAAGACCCUUGCUCCCUUCGGUCUCAAAGUAGACUUUGAUCUGAAGUCAUUCUUGUGAUUAUUAUGAUUUUUCUGAUGUAAAUGUCUGUAGGCCUAUGUAGCCAAAUUGUAUCUAUGAUCGUAUGCUAUCCAUUCAUGUUUUUGGUAUGUUAUUUUAAAAUAUGAGAAUUAACCAACGAUAUCAGGCCACACCCGGCCAUGAUUACAGACACCUGUGUGUGUCCUUUGACACUAUAUAAACUCGUCACCCUGCAGUGUUUGUCAUUAAACCCUGAUGAAGACAACACGUCUGUCUAGACGUUGGAUAUUAGGUUAUUAAAGUAUUGCAUCUGAGCUCC